rnacentral:snRNA from 1 species
AAACUUACCUGGCUGGGAGGGUCUCGCGAUCAACAAGGCGGGACCUCCACGCUGAGGCUUGGCCAUUGCACUCUGGGUCGGGUUGACGCGUGUGGC